rnacentral:rRNA from 1 species
AACACGUGGGAACGUGCCUUUAGGUUCGGAAUAGCUCCUGGAAACGGGUGGUAAUGCCGAAUGUGCCCUUCGGGGGAAAGAUUUAUCGCCUUUAGAGCGGCCCGCGUCUGAUUAGCUAGUUGGUGGGGUAAUGGCCCACCAAGGCUACGAUCAGUAGCUGGUCUGAGAGGAUGACCAGCCACAUUGGGACUGAGACACGGCCCAAACUCCUACGGGAGGCAGCAGUGGGGAAUCUUGCGCAAUGGGCGAAAGCCUGACGCAGCCAUGCCGCGUGUAUGAUGAAGGUCUUAGGAUUGUAAAAUACUUUCACCGGUGAAGAUAAUGACUGUAGCCGGAGAAGAAGCCCCGGCUAACUUCGUGCCAGCAGCCGCGGUAAUACGAAGGGGGCUAGCGUUGCUCGGAAUUACUGGGCGUAAAGGGAGCGUAGGCGGACAUUUAAGUCAGAGGUGAAAUCCCGGAGCUUAACUUCGGAACUGCCUUUGAUACUGGGUGUCUUGAGUGUGAGAGAGGUAUGUGGAGCUCCGAGUGUAGAGGUGAAAUUCGUAGAUAUUCGGAAGAACACCAGUGGCGAAGGCGACAUACUGGCUCAUUACUGACGCUGAGGCUCGAAAGCGUGGGGAGCAAACAGGAUUAGAUACCCUGGUAGUCCACGCCGUAAACGAUGAUUGCUAGUUGUCGGGAAGCUUGCUUCUCGGUGACGCAGCUAACGCA